ACUCCUACGGGAGGCAGCAGUGGGGAAUAUUGGACAAUGGGCGCAAGCCUGAUCCAGCCAUGCCGCGUGAGUGAUGAAGGCCCUAGGGUUGUAAAGCUCUUUCACCGGAGAAGAUAAUGACGGUAUCCGGAGAAGAAGCCCCGGCUAACUUCGUGCCAGCAGCCGCGGUAAUACGAAGGGGGCUAGCGUUGUUCGGAAUUACUGGGCGUAAAGCGCACGUAGGCGGAUCGAUCAGUCAGGGGUGAAAUCCCAGGGCUCAACCCUGGAACUGCCUUUGAUACUGUCGAUCUGGAGUAUGGAAGAGGUGAGUGGAAUUCCGAGUGUAGAGGUGAAAUUCGUAGAUAUUCGGAGGGACACCAGUGGCGAAGGCGGCUCACUGGUCCAUUACUGACGCUGAGGUGCGAAAGCGUGGGGAGCAAACAGGAUUAGAAACCCUGGUAGUCCCA
rnacentral:rRNA from 1 species